CAACCUGAGAGUUUGAUCCUGGCUCAGAGCGAACGCUGGCGGCAGGCCUAAUACAUGCAAGUCGAACGGAUCCUUCGGGAUUAGUGGCGGACGGGUGAGUAACACGUGGGAACGUGCCCUUUGGUUCGGAACAACUCAGGGAAACUUGAGCUAAUACUGGAUAAGCCCUUCGGGGGAAAGAUUUAUCGCCAUUGGA
rnacentral:rRNA from 1 species